GUAGGUGGUUUGUUAAGUGAAUAGUGAAAUCUGGGGGCUCAACCUCACAGACUAUUAUUCAAACUGGCAAACUCGAGAAUGGUAGAGGUAACUGGAAUUUCUAGUGUAGGAGUGAAAUCCGUAGAUAUUAGAAGGAACACCAAUGGCGUAGGCAGGUUACUGGACCGUUUCUGACACUGAGGCACGAAAGCGUGGGGAGCGAACCGGAUUAGAUACCCGGGUAGUCCACGCCGUAAACGAUGGAUACUAGCUGUUGGGGGUAUCGACCCCCCCAGUAGCGAAGCUAACGCGUUAAGUAUCCCGCCUGUGGAGUACGGUCGCAAGACUAAAACAUAAAGGAAUUGACGGGGACCCGCACAAGCGGUGGAUUGUGUUCUUUAAUUCGAUGAUAAACGAAGAACCUUACCAGGGUUUGACAUCCCAAGAAUUAAUCCGAAAGGAUUGAGUGCUUUAUUGAACUUGGUGACAGGUGAUGCAUGGCCGUCGUCAGCUCGUGUCGUGAGAUGUUUGGUUAAGUCCAUCAACGAGCGCAACCCUUGUGAUUAGUUGUAUUUUUCUAAUCAGACUGCCCCGGUAACGGGGAGGAAGGAGGGGAUGAUGUCAGGUCAGUAUUUCCCUGACAUCCUGGGCUAGAAACGCAAUACAAUGGCCGGUACAAUGUGCAGCGAAGCCGCGAGGUGAAGCAAAUCACAUCAAAACCGGUCCCAGUUCAGAUAAGAGGCUGAAACUCGCCUCUUUGAAGUCGGAAUCGCUAGUAAUCGCAGAUCAGCAAGCUGCGGUGAAUACGUUCCCGGGUCUUGUACACACCGCCCGUCAAACCAUGAAAGUGACCAACACCCGAAGUCCGAUUCGUCGGCCUAAGGUGGGGGGCAUGAUUGGGGUU
rnacentral:rRNA from 1 species